AACUUUUAGCAACGGAUCACUCGGCUCUCGCAACGAUGAAGGGCGCAGCGAAAUGCGAUAAGUAGUGUGAAUUGCAGAAUUCAGUGAACCAUCGAAACCUUGAACGCAAAUUGCACCUGUGGGUCCUCCCACAGGUACGCUUGUCCGAGUGCCGACCCUAACAACUCGACCGCGAGGAUGCGGGUGGACGAACCCAGCCUCAGGGUGUGGGGGAGAUCCGACCGGUCCAGGGGGUUGGAGCGUGGGAAUGUGCUUCGCGGCAGUUGCGUCGUAUUGGGUUGGGAGGGAAGGCGCGGUGCAUCCGCACGUACACGCGUAUCGAUCGAAGGCCAUCGGCCCGAUGCUUCGACUCGCGGGUGCGUCCGCCCGCCACGAUCCCGCCGAAGGAAGGGAGGACUUUUCAACUUUUCGGCCUCGGAUCAAGCGAGACUACCCGCUGAACUUAAGCAUAUCAAUAAGCGGAGGCU
rnacentral:misc_RNA from 1 species